AAUGAACGCUGGCGGCAGGCCUAACACAUGCAAGUCGAACGAGGCAGCAAUGCCUAGUGGCGGACGGGUGAGUAACGCGUGGGAACGUGCCCCUUGGUACGGAAUAGCCCUGGGAAACUGGGAGUAAUACCGUAUGUGGUCGAGAGACGAAAGAUUUAUCGCCGAGGGAUCGGCCCGCGUUGGAUUAGGUAGUUGGUGGGGUAAUGGCCUACCAAGCCGACGAUCCAUAGCUGGUUUGAGAGGAUGAUCAGCCACACUAGGACUGAGACACGGCACAGACUCCUAUGGGAGGCAGCAGUGGGGAAUCUUAGACAAUGUGGGAAACCCUGAUCUAGCCAUGCCGCGUGAUCGAUGAAGGCCUUAGGGUUGUAAAUGUCUUUCAGGUGGGAAGAUAAUGACGGUACCACCAGAAGAAGUCCCGGCUAACUCCGUGCCAGCCGCCGCCGUAA
rnacentral:rRNA from 1 species